rnacentral:lncRNA from 1 species
CUAGGUUAAUGGGGGUAGUGGUAGUAAGUCACUCUUGUGGUGUUUAAAGAAAGCCACUCAAAAGGUGCUGUCAGGCAAUGUGUUUUUUUGGUGUUUUGAGAGAUUACUUGUUCUAGGGACUAUGUGUUGGGGAAUGCUUCUUUCUCAUUCUCCUAGCUUCCAAGAGGUUUUCCCUAAACAUUACUGACCUUGAGCCCUACUCUUUAUUCCUCCCUAUGGACAUGGAGUGAUUUGGGAAAGAGAAGCUGAACAUUCACAUCCCAGUCUCUCUCUUCUCUUUUGAGACUGAGGCUGCCUCAAGGCUGUAUAUAUUAAUAUCUAUGUGUAUUUGUGUGUCUAGCAUGACCUUUGAUGAGGUAGGUAAACCUGUUUAACUUGGGGGUUCAGUAUCAAGAGACCCACUUACAAUCUGAAGCCAUAUUCUUUAAUGUUAGCUCUGUCAGUAAUAAAAGUGAUGCUUUUGUCUUCUAUAUGCCCUCCUCUUUUGUCUUAUUUCCUAACUGAUUCAGAACUCAGCCAGGGAGGAGGGAUUUACUUGGACCGCCUAAGCCUAUCCUGUCCCCAGAAGUGAAUUGUGCCCCUUGGGUCCCAGCUUUCAUUUCUGCCACCCUGACUCCUCAGUACCCAAUGACACUGGUCCAACUACCUCCUGAGGCAAACAGAUGAUCUAGACCUGAAGGCCUCUUUGUCCCCUAAUGAUAGCACCCAACGGCAUUGCAUGGGGAGUUAUUUCUCCCAGAGACCUGGGCUCUUGCCCUGACUUCGUUAUUAACUUGCUGUCUGACCUUAUGUGAGUUACUUCCCCUUCUUAGCUAAGCCUUUGCUCAUCUAGAAAGUGAGAAGAUUAAUCAGAGGCUGGAUUAACUGCAUCUUAAUCUAAAAUAACUUUAAAAAUAUAGCAGACACUGAAGAGCUUCCAUUCUCAUGCUGCUGAUAAAGACAUACCUGAGACUGGGCAAUUUACAAAAGAAAGAGGUUUAAUGGACUCACACUUCCACAUGGCUAGGGAGAGGCCUCACAAUCAUGGCAGAAGGCAAGGAGCAGCAAGUCACAUCUUACAUGGAUGGAAGCAGGCAAAGAGAGAGAGAGCAUUUGCAGGGGAACUCCUCUUUUUAAAACCUAGAUCUCAUGAGACUUAUUCACUAUCAUGAGAACAGCAUGGGAAAGACUUGCCUCCAUCAUUCAAUUACCUCCCACCGGGUCCCUCCCACAACACAUGGGAAUUAAAGAUGAGAUUUUGUUGGGGACACAGCCAAACCAUAUCACCAUACCUCUCUAAUCUUCAAUAACAGGUCCCAUGUAACCACUAAACCUUGAAGUUCAGCACUGCUGCCCAGGUUGGAGUGCAAUGGCGCAAUCUUGGCUCACUGCAACCUCUGCCUCCCAGGUUCAAGUGAUUCUUGUACCUCAGCAUCCUGAGUAGGAGGCUGGGACUACAGGCACACGCCACCAUGACUGGCUAAUUAUUUUUUUUUUUUUGUAUUUCUUUUUUUUUGGUAGAGACGGGGUUUCACCAUGUCGGCCAGGCUGGUCUCAAACUCCUGGCCUCAAGUGAUCCACCCGCCUUGGCCCUCUAAAGUUGAAUCAACCUUUUUUUUUUUUUUUGAGAUGGAGUCUUGCUCUAUCGCCCAGGCUGGAGUGCAGUGGCACAAUCUUGGCUCACUGCAACUUCCACCUCCUGGGUUCAAGCAGUUCUCCUGCCUCAGCCUCCCGAGUAGCUGGGAUUACAGGUGCACACCACAAUGCCUGGCUAAUUUUUGUACUUUUAGUAGAGAUGGGUUUCACCAUGUUGGCCAGGCU